rnacentral:rRNA from 1 species
CCUACGGGUGGCAGCAGUGAGGAAUAUUGGUCAAUGGGCGGAAGCCUGAACCAGCCAAGUAGCGUGCAGGAUGACGGCCCUACGGGUUGUAAACUGCUUUUAUACGGGAAUAACGCGCCUUACGUGUAGGGCUUUGCAUGUACCGUAUGAAUAAGGACCGGCUAAUUCCGGGCCAGCAGCCGCGGUAAUCGGGAAGGUCCGGGCGUUAUCCGGUUUUAGUGGGUUUAAAGGGAGCGUAGGCCGCAUGUCAAGCGUGCUGUGAAAUGUCCGGGCUCAACGCGAGCCUUGCAGCGCGAACUGACGUGGUUGAGUCCGCUGAAAGCAGGCGGAAUUCGUCGGGUACCGG